rnacentral:lncRNA from 1 species
UCUUUCUACAAUAGACUAACACGGCUACCCCUUUGGAAUUUGAUUCCUGAAGUCUGUGCAUCCAUCCAUCCAGCUCCCCAAUCUCCCAAACUGCCCAGACUGCUAGACUUCCCAAGCUUCCUGUCUCAUCACCACUCCAGCAUCUCACCAGGGAGACAAUGUGGCUUCCUAGCAUAGCAUUUUUGAAAAUGUCUGUUUCACAGAAAUAUAUUAACACUCCUGACCAUUUUUUUCUAAUUUAAAACUGAAUUUGGGACAGAGAAGAGGAAUGUAAAAUUUGGUAUGGGAUGGAAUUCCUGGUUCCUGAACAGCACUAAUCUAAACAUCACUGAGAAGGUCAGCACGUUCCCCACCUCAACACUUUUUACCUGUCUCAAAAUGCAUGUAAUUCUUCACGUUUGUGUAACACUAAGACUCCUUGGUUAUGUCCACACUAGAAAAGCUAAGUCGAAUCUGCUAAGUCGACUUAGAGAGUCUAUACUAGACUCUUACGUUGACUGCCUGCAUUCACACAUGCAGGUUAGGAUGACUGUGACAAGGGGAGCUGCAGAUCCAGGGGACAAGGGGAGCCGCGGCUCCAGGGGAAAAGGGGAGCCCAUCCCCCUGGCAAGCAGAGGCGCAGCUCACUGCAGAAGGAAGCCCAGCUCCCUGGCAAGCAGGGAGUCAUGGCUCCCCGGUAGAAGGGAGUUGUGGCUCCCCCCAGGGACACGGGAGAUGCACGCGGCUCCCAGGGAGAAGCAAGCUGUGCUGGGCUCCCUGGCCGGGGCUCCAACAGUGAAGCAUUGCUCCGCUGCUCCAGCCGGGGCUUCAUCCAUGAGGGAAACCCCCACCGCCCCAGACGGGGCUCCAUUGGUGAGGGAAAUCCCCACCUCCCCGGCCGGGCUCCAUCAGCUCCAUUGUCCCCCGGGAGCUGCGGCUCCCUUCUCCCCAGCCCAUCCCCCAGCCAAUUAGGUACACUUAGGGGUACUCAUUGUCCACACUGGCUUAAGUCAACUUAAAAGGUCAAGUUAAGUGUUAGGUCGCUCUUCAGAGGUGGUGUUAAUAAGUUGAAUUAAGGAAGCGCAUAAGUCGACUUAAUAAAAGCCCAGUGUGGACACGGCGUACUGUAGAUCAACUUAAGCAUCCUUAAGUCGACCUAAGCUGCCAGUGUAGCUGCACCCCUUGGUAGGUAGUUAGCAGCAGGAAACUUGUUUAAGACCUUUUGAUCUUAAUGCAUGCUCUUCUACUGCCUGUUAGACAAGGCUGCAGCCAGCUCAUCAAGCACUACUUGAUCUAGCCACCCCUAGAGGGCGACAGAGAGCCACACAGAGCAGGUAUGGUAUGGUUCACAUUUGUUUUACAAUUAAAAUCAAAUAUUUCACUGGACUUUUUGACAGGAAAAUAAGUCAAUCACAGUUGCCCUUGGGCUCACCAGCAACACUAAAAUAACAAACUGGAACACACUGUCCCACUAUCCACAAGUGGCUGUUGCUGACAGGUGAUCUCCUACUGGUAAUGGAAGAUCUAAUCUCCAUGCUGAUCAUAUUAAACCUGUAACCUGUCAUUGAUACUGUCCAAUGAAGACAGAAGCCGAACACAACAAGAGUAUGACCCAGAUUUGUAAUAGAAAGGAUAAACCUGGAAAACAGUAAUGCUGAAAUUCACUUAUUGUAGGAGUGAGUGGACAAUCAGUUAGACAUGAAUUUGCCACAUGAUACAAUAGCACAAAGACCACUGUAAUUUGGGGCUUCAUGCUUUGAGGUGUCAUGUCACAAAACACAGACACGAUAGUCAUUUUUCAUGUGGCUCAGACUACAUCUGGAACAUUGCAUUCAGAUCCAGAAACCUCAUUAUUAAUGUAUUUGUUCCAACUGAGCUUUGAUCAUCAUAGAAUCAGAGAAUAUUAGAAUUGGAAGGGAACUCAGGAAGUCUUCUAAUCCAACCCCCUGCUCAAAGCAGAAUCAAACUGAAAUAAAUCAUCCCACCAGGGCUUUGUCAAGCUACACCUUAAAAACCUCUAAAGAUGGAGAUUCCACUUCCCUAGAUAACCUGUUCCAAUGCUUUACCACUCUCCUAAUAUUCAACCUAGACCACUCCCAUUGCAACGUGAGAUCAUUGCUCCAAUUUCUGCCAUCUACUGCCAUUGAGAACACCCUAUUUCCAUUUUCCCUGGAGCCUUCUUUCAGGUAGCUAAAGGCUGCUAUCAAAUUCUGCCCCAAUUUUUCUCUUCUGCAGACUAAACAAACUUGGUUCCCUCAGCCUUCUCUUAUAAAUCAUGCUCUUCAGCCCCCUAAUUAAUUUUGUUGCUCUCUACUGGACUCUUUCCAACUUGUUUACAUCUUUUCUGUAGUGAGAGCCCAAAACUGGACACGGUACUCCAAAUGAAGUCUCACGAGUGCUAAAUAGAUAGGAAUAGUCACUUCCUUCAAUCUGUUGGCAAUGUUCCUUCUAAUGCAGCCUGUGUACCAGAAGCCCAUACUAGUACAAAGUAUAAUUUAUCUGGAGUUAUAAAAGACAUCUGUCCGAAAAUCAAGGUAUGUGUGUAACACAAAAAUACUGACACAAUUCAGAUUUUCCCCUGUCAGUAAUUAAUACAGCUGCCUUCUCACAAAUCCAGGGGUACUUUUUAUUGCAGUUCUUACUGUUAUAAACUUUCAAAUGAUGAUAGGACAGGUAUGCACAGUUUUCACCAUAGGACAAAACUAUCCUAGAAAAUAAAGCAGAAUUCCAUUACAUCCUGUCAAGUCAAGUUCUGUAAAUAAUGAAUAGUCAUGAUCAGAGAGCCCCAUAAUCACAAAAACUGAUUGAAAAACAAACAAGGAAUCCUGUGGCACUUUUACAGACUAACAAAUUUAUUUAUUGCAGAAGCUUUCAUGGGAGAAAAUCCCAUUUCAGAAGAUGCAUGAAGUGGAACCUGUAGUGUGUUAGGUAUAUAUAUACAUGCAGAGAAGAGUGAGUCACAAGGUCAAUUUAAACAGUUUCUGGGUGUUAGUCUGUUAGCCUGUUUCAGCAAACCAAGCAAGUUGUUUUGAUUCAGUGUGGAUGUGGGCUUUUAAGAACAAUGAUUGACAAGGUGAAACUAUUAAAAGAAGAAAAAUUGCCAUGUGUAUGAAGUUCCAAAAGGGAUAGGCAUGUUAGACUAGUUCAGCAAAACAAACAAGGAUUACAGUGACACUUUUAAAAACUAACAAAUUUAUUGCAUGAGCUCAUAAAUAAAUUUGUUAGUCUUUAAAAGUGCCACAAGACUUCUUGCUUGUCUUGUGUAAUGAGAUAGCAAUAAAGUCCCUAUUCAUACCCAAUCUGAUGGUGUCAAGUUUGCUUAUGAAUUCCAGCUCUGCAGUUUCAUGGCUGCAGGGGUGGAGAGUCUUCAGGGCCCUUCAGGUUUAUACAAAUGGUAUCUAUGGCCCUCAAGCCAGAAAGGUUGGGAGCCCCUGGUGUAGAUUGUGCACUGCACAUGAUCCACUGGGUAUUUCCUGGUGAUGGUAUUGGGGAAUUGUCCAAGUGGUCCCCCAUCUGGUGGCCUAUGCUCCAUAUCUUCAUGACCGGGACCUCACCUUCCAGUUGAGCCCUUCUCAAAUCCACCCCUUCAGGGGUCCAGCACAGUCCAGGCCCGCUUUGCCUCAGUGACCACUGUCUAUCCAUUCACCACCACCUGGUAAUCCAGGUAAGGCAGGAGGGGCCCAGCCACAGAGACCCUAAACACUCUUCCUGAGUGCCAUUUUAACACCCCCACUGCAGUGCAGCAUGCACUGGGCCAUUGCCUUGUCUCUCCAGGUAUCUGUUACUCUUUUAGGAGGUCUCUGUCCUCGCCAAACCCUGGCAACUUUCAGUGUGCUGUCCCUGCUCCUGCUUCCCACAGACAGAGGUCCAGCGCACCUUGCCUCCACAAUCGCUAGAGGCAGACUGCCAAGAGCUGUGGCUGCAGCCCCUAUUUAUACAGGCUCCUCAGCCCUAACUGGCUCCCCCACCACCAGCUCCUAUUGGCUAUGCCCCUUUCCCAGGGUUAUAGUGCCUUCCAUUCUGGAGUGGGGAACCAUCCCGCUACAGUUCCCUUUAUCUCAUCUUGUCAGUUCUGGUGUAAGAUUUUCAAAAUUAUAAUGGUGGAGAGGGAAUUAAAUUUGGGAGCCUGUCUGUGGCUGGAUGGAAAAAGUGGAUGCAGGAGGGGUUGGUAGCUGGGAGAAAGAUUGGGAUGAGUUUAGGGACGCUUUUUAAACUGGAUGGGUCUAACUGGUGAUACUCAGUGAUCAGUGGUAACAAUUCAUGACUGUUCUACUCCCUUGAUUAUCCACUUUCUCUCUGGAAUAUUAAGCCCCACCUUUCUCCGGAAGCAGUUUUUUGGAGCAUGUGCAUGUGAGGUUCAGCUGUAUCUGUGCUGUAUUGCAGCAUGAAGCCUUCACAUUGAAGUUUUGUGCAAUAUAACUGGGAAUCUAGUCUCCUGCUGCUACUUAGUCAAAAUAUUAUACAUGCAAAGGUAUAAACUACAGAAGAUUAAGAUAUGGAAACUUACCAGUCCCUUCUCUUUGUAGAAAGAGCUGUACUAUCUGCCCAAAACCAGCCAUCAAGUUUAUAUGACAAUCCAAUCCAAUAACAUUGGUUUUUGUCUAUUUAAGGUACAUACUCCUGUGAGGAAAUAAGAAAAAAAUACUUUUAUAUUCAAUAAGU